rnacentral:rRNA from 1 species
AACGAACGCUAUCGGUAUGCUUAACACAUGCAAGUCGAACGGACUAAUUGGGGCUUGCUCCAAUUAGUUAGUGGCAGACGGGUGAGUAACACGUGGGAAUCUACCCAUCAGUACGGAAUAACUUUUAGAAAUAAAAGCUAAUACCGUAUAUUCUCUACGGAAAAAAGAUUUAUCGCUGAUGGAUGAGCCCGCGUCAGAUUAGGUAGUUGGUGAGGUAACGGCUCACCAAGCCGACGAUCUGUAGCUGGUCUGAGAGGAUGAUCAGCCACACUGGGACUGAGACACGGCCCAGACUCCUACGGGAGGCAGCAGUGGGGAAUAUUGGACAAUGGGCGAAAGCCUGAUCCAGCAAUACCGAGUGAGUGAUGAAGGCCUUAGGGUUGUAAAGCUCUUUUA